CAGAGGGUGCGAGCGUUGUCCGGAAUUACUGGGCGUAAAGGGCGCGUAGGCGGCUUGGUAAGUCGGGGGUGGAAAGUACAGCGGCUCAACCGCUGGACGUGCCUUCGAGACUGCCUGGCUUGAGCAUGGUAGAGGCUGGCGGAAUUCCCGGUGUAGCGGUGGAAUGCGUAGAGAUCGGGAAGAACAUCGGUGGCGAAGGCGGCCAGCUGGGCCAUUGCUGACGCUGAGGCGCGACAGCGUGGGAGCAAACAGGAUU
rnacentral:rRNA from 1 species